rnacentral:rRNA from 1 species
AAUGAACGCUGGCGGCAGGCCUAACACAUGCAAGUCGAACGGAUCCGUCGGGUUUAGUGGCGGACGGGUGAGUAACGCGUGGGAACAUACCCGAAGGUGCGGAAUAGCCUCGGGAAACUGGUAGUAAUACCGUACGUGCUCGAAUGCGGCAAGAUUUAUCGACUUGGGAUUGGCCCGCGUUGGAUUAGGGAGUUGGUGAGGUAAUGGCCUACCAAGCCGACGAGCCAUAGCUGGUUUGAGAGGAUGAUCAGCCACACUGGGACUGAGACACGGCCCAGACUCCUACGGGAGGGAGCAGUGGGGAAUCUUAGACAAUGGGGGAAACCCUGAUCUAGCCAUGCCGCGUGAUCGAUGAAGGCCUUAGGGUUGUAAAGAUCUUUCAGGUGGGAAGAUAAUGACGGUACCACCAGAAGAAGCCCCGGCUAACUCCGUGCCAGCCGCCGCCGUAA